GCGUGCGAUGNUGAGUAAGGGCGCAACCAACCNCGUGAUCGGGCAUAGCCGCGGGAAACCGCGGGUAAUUCCCGGCGACGUCCGGAGGGGGCAUCCCUUCCGGACCAAAGCUCCGGCGUCGUGGGACGGACCGUCGUGGUAUUAGGUGGUUGGCGGGGUAACGGCCCACCAAGCCGAUGAUGCCUACCGGGCGUGAGAGCGUGGCCCGGCACACUGGGACUGAGACACUGCCCAGACUCCUACGGGAGGCUGCAGUCGAGAAUCUUCGGCAAUGGGCGCAAGCCUGACCGAGCGACGCCGCGUGGAGGACGAAGGCCUUCGGGUUGUAAACUCCCGUCGAGGGGGAGGAAGCCGCAAGGUUGACCGAUCCCUGGAGGAAGCACGGGCUAAGUUCGUGCC
rnacentral:rRNA from 1 species